GUCUACGGUCAUGCCACCCUGAAUAAGCCCGAUGUCUGAUCUCAGAAGCUAAGCAGGGUCGGGCCUGGUUAGUACUUGGAUGGGAGACCACCUAGGAAGACCAGGUGCUGUUGGCA
rnacentral:rRNA from 1 species